GCAUAUCAAUAAGCGGAGGAAAAAGAAACUAACAAGGAUUCCCCUAGUAACUGCGAGUGAAGCGGGAAAAAGCUCAAAUUUAAAAUCUGGCAGUCUUUGGCUGUCCGAGUUGUAAUCUGGAGAAGCGUCUUCCGCCCUGGACCGUGUACAAGUCUCCUGGAACGGAGCGUCAUAGAGGGUGAGAAUCCCGUCUUUGACACGGACUACCAGUGCUUUGUGAUGCGCUCUCAACGAGUCGAGUUGUUUGGGAAUGCAGCUCAAAAUGGGUGGUAAACUCCAUCUAAAGCUAAAUAUUGGCGAGAGACCGAUAGCGAACAAGUACCGUGAGGGAAAGAUGAAAAGCACUUUGGAAAGAGAGUUAAACAGUACGUGAAAUUGCUGAAAGGGAAACGCUUGAAGUCAGUCGCGUUUGCUAGAACUCAGCCUUGCCUCGGCUUGGUGCAUUUUCUAGUGAACGGGCCAGCAUCACUUUUGGCUGCGGGAAAAAGGUCAGAGGAAUGUGGCACCUUCGGGUGUGUUAUAACCUCUGGCUGUAUACCGUGGCUGGGAGUGAGGAACUCAGCACGCCUUCAUGGCGGGGCUUCGGCCACCUUCGUGCUUAGGAUGCUGGCGUAAUGGCUUUAAACGACCCGUCUUGAAACACGGACCAAGGAGUCUAACAUGCCUGCGAGUGUUUGGGUGGAAAAACCCGAGCGCGUAAUGAAAGUGAAAGUUGGGACCUCUGUCGUGGAGGGCACCGACGCCCGGACCAGACCUUCUGUGACGGAUCCGCGGUAGAGCAUGUAUGUUGGGACCCGAAAGAUGGUGAACUAUGCCUGAAUAGGGUGAAGCCAGAGGAAACUCUGGUGGAGGCUCGUAGCGAUUCUGACGUGCAAAUCGAUCGUCAAAUUUGGGUAUAGGGGGCGAAAGACUAAUCGAACCCAUCUAGUAGCUGGGUUCCUGCCGA
rnacentral:rRNA from 1 species